rnacentral:rRNA from 1 species
CGGAGGGUGCGAGCGUUGUCCGGAAUCACUGGGCGUAAAGGGCGCGUAGGUGGCGACCCAAGUCCGUGGUGAAAGCUCGCCGCUUAACGGCGAGUCGGCCACGGAGACUGGGUGGCUCGAGCACUGUAGGGGCAGAUGGAAUUCCGGGUGUAGCGGUGGAAUGCGUAGAGAUCCGGAAGAACACCAGUGGCGAAGGCGGUCUGCUGGGCAGUUGCUGACACUGAGGCGCGACAGCGUGGGGAGCAAACAGGAUUAGAUACCCUGGUAGUCCACGCCGUAAACGAUGGGCACUAGAUGCUUGGGGGAGCGACCCCCUGAGUGUCGUCGCUAACGCAGUAAGUGCCCCGCCUGGGGGGUACGGCCGCAAGGCUG